ACGGAAGAUGCGAGCGUUAUCCGGAUUUAUUGGGUUUAAAGGGUGCGUAGGCGGAAGAAUAAGUCAGCGGUGAAAUACUUCAGCUUAACUGGAGAAUUGCCGAUGAAACUGUUUUUCUAGAGUAUAAAAGAGGUAUGCGGAAUGCGUGGUGUAGCGGUGAAAUGCAUAGAUAUCACGCAGAACCCCGAUUGCGAAGGCAGCAUACUGGGCUAUAACUGACGCUGAAGCACGAAAGCGUGGGUAUCGAACAG
rnacentral:rRNA from 1 species